UGUCGAGCGGUAGAGAGAAGCUUGCUUCUCUUGAGAGCGGCGGACGGGUGAGUAAUGCCUAGGAAUCUGCCUGGUAGUGGGGGAUAACGUUCGGAAACGGACGCUAAUACCGCAUACGUCCUACGGGAGAAAGCAGGGGACCUUCGGGCCUUGCGCUAUCAGAUGAGCCUAGGUCGGAUUAGCUAGUUGGUGAGGUAAUGGCUCACCAAGGCGACGAUCCGUAACUGGUCUGAGAGGAUGAUCAGUCACACUGGAACUGAGACACGGUCCAGACUCCUACGGGAGGCAGCAGUGGGGAAUAUUGGACAAUGGGCGAAAGCCUGAUCCAGCCAUGCCGCGUGUGUGAAGAAGGUCUUCGGAUUGUAAAGCACUUUAAGUUGGGAGGAAGGGCAGUUACCUAAUACGUGAUUGUUUUGACGUUACCGACAGAAUAAGCACCGGCUAACUCUGUGCCAGCAGCCGCGGUAAUACAGAGGGUGCAAGCGUUAAUCGGAAUUACUGGGCGUAAAGCGCGCGUAGGUGGUUAGUUAAGUUGGAUGUGAAAUCCCCGGGCUCAACCUGGGAACUGCAUUCAAAACUGACUGACUAGAGUAUGGUAGAGGGUGGUGGAAUUUCCUGUGUAGCGGUGAAAUGCGUAGAUAUAGGAAGGAACACCAGUGGCGAAGGCGACCACCUGGACUGAUACUGACACUGAGGUGCGAAAGCGUGGGGAGCAAACAGGAUUAGAUACCCUGGUAGUCCACGCCGUAAACGAUGUCAACUAGCCGUUGGGAGCCUUGAGCUCUUAGUGGGCGCAGCUAACGCAUUAAGUUGACCGCCUGCGGAGUACGGCCGCAAGGGUUAAAACUCAAAUGAAUUGACGGGGGGCCCGCACAAGCGGUGGAGCAUGUGGGUUUAAUUCGAAGCAAC
rnacentral:rRNA from 1 species